ensembl:lncRNA
GUGUGUUUUAACUGAUAUAGCAUGCUAGAAGUUAAGAUUGACAAAAAUAAAAGACAAAUUAAAGGAAUUAGGCUACUAAAUUAAGUGUAAAAGUGUAAGAAUAGAAUAAAAUAAAAUAAAAUAAAAUAAAAUUUCCUGUGACAAUAAAAUAAAAUUAAAUAAAAUAUUUUUUCCUGUGGCUUAGAGGUGAUUGGCUAGGAGAAGGAUCUGCCGCCCGCAGUUGACUUAGAUAUUCUAGGUAUUAUCAAAUUGCCAGAGUUUUGAGAAUGGAGCGGACGUGGAGGACUAUAAUGUAACAAGAGCUCAUUCAAAAACUGAGGUGCUAAACCAUUCAGGGCUUAUAUACUGUAUAUAUAUACAUAUAAGAAUCAAAAUAAACUAAAGUUGACUAUAAUCAAAAUAAUUGUAUAUAAAUAAUACUAAAAUAACACUGAUCAGAAUAUAUAUUAUGCAAUGAUAAAUAUUUCAAACCCUGACCUCAUUACUUUGCAUAAUACAAAAAUAGUGUUGUUAUCAUUUUGGGAAUAAAAAAUGGUUAUUUUGUGAUUUAAACUGAUUAGGUAGUUAGUUUAUUUAUUUAAGCGUGGCUGUAAUGCUUCUGCUUCGUUCUUCACACGGGAAUUGGAAGGUCAAGCCGGGCAAAAAAUGCAGAGUAUACAUGCUAUAUACUGCAGAAACAAUAAAAGUAGAGUGGUAUUUAAUAGACUGAGACCAGUAAAGGACAAGUAACACUGUUAAUCCACAUUUAUUACUCACCUUCUAAUUUCAUAAUAAACUAACAGACUUUUUAAAAAAGAUAUCAUCUUUGAUUUCUGCUUUUUCAAAGUUUCCUGAAGAUAUUUUUAGCCUUGUGUGAGGAACAGACCAAAAUAAGUCAUUAUUCACAGAAAGUUUCCCCUCAGUAGAUCUCAAAGCUCAUUCAUAUUCAUGAACAUUUAAACUUAUUACCUUGCGAUAAGUUAUGAAAUGGCGAUGGCAGACAACGGGAUUUGUGAAGUAUCAAAGCCCCUCGUUUGAAUAUAUGCAAAUGAGAUUUGAAUCCGCAGUGGACAAGAAGAUUUUUACAGAUGAACGACUCAGUCUUUGGUCUGAUGGCUCGUCAGCUCCAGUCCUCAUUGAGUUUCACAGUGUCGCAGAGCAAUGUGAACAACCUGACUUUGUGUUUUUUCGAAGGAAGAAACAGUCAGACAGCUUGAGGAUAAAAGGAAAAAUACCAUUACAGCAAAACCGAAGACCUGGAUACCAAGAUUACGC